rnacentral:rRNA from 1 species
CCUACGGGGGGCAGCAGUAGGGAAUAUUGCUCAAUGGGGGAAACCCUGAAGCAGCAACGCCGCGUGGAGGAUGAAGGUUUUCGGAUUGUAAACUCCUUUUGUUAGAGAAGAUAAUGACGGUAUCUAACGAAUAAGCACCGGCUAACCCCGUGCCAGCAGCCGCGGUAAUACGGAGGGUGCAAGCGUUACCCGGAAUCACUGGGCGUAAAGAGCGCGUAGGCGGGAUAGCAAGUCAGAUGUGAAAUCCUAUGGCUUAACCAUAGAACUGCAUUUGAAACUGUUAUUCUAGAGUAUGCGAGAGGUAGGUGGAAUUCUUGGUGUAGGGGUAAAAUGCGUAGAGAUCAAGAGGAAUACUCAUUGCGAAGGCGACCUGCUAGAACAUAACUGACGCUGAUGCGCGAAAGCGUGGGGAGCAAACAGGAUUAGAUACCCCUGUAGUC